rnacentral:rRNA from 1 species
GACGAACGCUGGCGGCGUGCCUAAUACAUGCAAGUCGAACGAGAGCGACCGGUGCUUGCACCGGUUAAUCUAGUGGCGAACGGGUGAGUAACACGUGGGUAACCUGCCUAUCAGAGGGGGAUAACAUCCGGAAACGGAUGCUAAAACCGCAUAGGUCUUCGAGCUGCAUGGCUUGAAGAGGAAAAGAGGCGCAAGCUUCUGCUGAUGGAUGGACCCGCGGUGCAUUAGCUAGUUGGUGAGGUAACGGCUCACCAAGGCCGUGAUGCAUAGCCGACCUGAGAGGGUGAUCGGCCACAUUGGGACUGAGACACGGCCCAAACUCCUACGGGAGGCAGCAGUAGGGAAUCUUCCGCAAUGGACGCAAGUCUGACGGAGCAACGCCGCGUGAGUGAAGAAGGUUUUCGGAUCGUAAAACUCUGUUGUUAGAGAAGAACAAGUGCUAGAGUAACUGUUAGCGCCUUGACGGUAUCUAACCAGAAAGCCACGGCUAACUACGUGCCAGCAGCCGCGGUAAUACGUAGGUGGCAAGCGUUGUCCGGAUUUAUUGGGCGUAAAGCGAGCGCAGGCGGUUCCUUAAGUCUGAUGUGAAAGCCCCCGGCUCAACCGGGGAGGGUCAUUGGAAACUGGGGAACUUGAGUGCAGAAGAGGAGAGUGGAAUUCCAUGUGUAGCGGUGAAAUGCGUAGAUAUAUGGAGGAACACCAGUGGCGAAGGCGACUCUCUGGUCUGUAACUGACGCUGAGGCUCGAAAGCGUGGGUAGCAAACAGG